rnacentral:rRNA from 6 species
CAAACGACUCUCGGCAACGGAUAUCUCGGCUCACGCAUCGAUGAAGAACGUAGCAAAAUGCGAUACUUGGUGUGAAUUGCAGAAUCCCGUGAACCAUCGAGUUUUUGAACGCAAGUUGCGCCCGAAGCCUUUUGGCCAAGGGCACGUCUGCCUGGGCGUCACAC